UCGAGUCAAAGGGACUCCUGAGCCCACCGAAACUCUGCAAGGAGGACAUGUGAUAGUCCUAGACGCCAUGUCUUCCUCUACAUCCUCAACUGACCAUGUCCAAUACAAGAAUUUGACAGCGGAUUUUCCAUCCUCCGGGGUGAAGUCGAGUGCUACAGCAGACCAGGUGAGAGAAAGUAGAGUCACAGGGACUCCUGAGCCCACCGAAACUCUGCAAGGAGGACAUGUGAUAGUCCUAGACUCCAUGUCUUCCUCUACAUCCUCAACUGACCAUG